GAUGAACGCUGGCGGCGUGCCUAAUACAUGCAAGUCGAGCGAACAGAUGAGGAGCUUGCUCCUCUGACGUUAGCGGCGGACGGGUGAGUAACACGUGGAUAACCUACCUAUAAGACUUGGAUAACUUCGUGAAACCGGAUCUAAUACCGGAUAAUAUAUUGAACCGCAUGGUUCAAUAGUGAAAGACGGUUUUGCUGUCACUUAUAGAUGGAUCCGCGCCGCAUUAGCUAGUUGGUAAGGUAACGGCUUACCAAGGCAACGAUGCGUAGCCGACCUGAGAGGGUGAUCGGCCACACUGGAACUGAGACACGGUCCAGACUCCUACGGGAGGCAGCAGUAGGGAAUCUUCCGCAAUGGGCGAAAGCUUGACGGAGCAACGCCGCGUGAGUGAUGAAGGUCUUCGGAUCGUAAAACUCUGUUAUUAGGGAAGAACAAAUGUGUAAGUAACUAUGCACGUCUUGACGGUACCUAAUCAGAAAGCCACGGCUAACUACGUG
rnacentral:rRNA from 1 species